rnacentral:rRNA from 1 species
AUGUCUGACAACGGGGGACCAUUCAAAAAUAAACUUGUCGAUAAGUUAUGCUCGAAAUUCAAAAUAAUUCAUCACUAUUCUACGGCUUAUAAUCCGGCAGAUAAUGGACAGGCGGAAGCUUUUAAUAAAACCCUCUGCAAAUUGUUAAAGAAAGUCGUGUCUAGAAAUAAGCGUGAGUGGCAUGAGAAACUUCUUGAGGUCUUGUGGGCUUAUAGAACCACGACACGUACACCAACUGGAAUGACACCAUACUCCCUCGUAUUUGGAGGAGAGGCAGUUUUGCCAUUAGAGGUACAAAUUACCUCGCUUAGAGUUGCUAUUCAGGAGAAACUUUCUGAAGAAGAGGCCAUAAAAUUACGCCUCGGUGAACUCGAAAUGCUCGAAGGAAAACGCCUU